AGUUUGAGAUCAAAUGCUUCUGAUCUCAAAGAUCUAGCAUGCCAUAUACAGAAUCCAUAAUAAAAUGUAUUUACACACACAAAAACCCCACUCUUUUCAAUGAGAAGCUCUAGAAUACCAACUUAAAAAAAAAAAAGAAAGCCAGCUACUCAGUAUCACUUGAGCCCAGGGGUUUGAGUCCAGCCUGGGCAACACAGUGAGGUCCCUUCUCUUGUUUAAAAACAGAGAGAAAGAAAGAAAAAACAGCUUGGGAUAGAAACCACCACUGAGGAAUUCUAAUUCAUUCAUGUGCUCCUGGGUUAACCUACAGCACUCUAACACCAGGGAGCGUCUACGCAU
rnacentral:lncRNA from 1 species